GAUGAACGCUAGCGGGAGGCCUAACACAUGCAAGCCGAGCGGUAGAGAUUCUUCGGAAUCUUGAGAGCGGCGUACGGGUGCGGAACACGUGUGCAACCUACCUUUAUCUGGAGGAUAGCCUUUCGAAAGGAAGAUUAAUACUCCAUAAUAUAUUGAUUGGCAUCAAUUGAUAUUGAAAGCUCCGGCGGAUAGAGAUGGGCACGCGCAAGAUUAGUUAGUUGGUGAGGUAACGGCUCACCAAGACGAUGAUCUUUAGGGGCCUGAGAGGGUGAUCCCCACACUGGUACUGAGACACGGACCAGACUCCUACGGGAGGCAGCAGUGAGGAAUAUUGGUCAAUGGGUGCAAGCCUGAACCAGCCAUCCCGCGUGAAGGACGACUGCCCUAUGGGUUGUAAACUUCUUUUGUAUAGGGAUAAACCUACCCUCGUGAAGGGUAGCUGAAAGGUACUAUACGAAUAAGCACGG
rnacentral:rRNA from 1 species